AGCGUAGACGGACUGGCAAGUCUGAUGUGAAAGGCGGGGGCUCAACCCCUGGACUGCAUUGGAAACUGUUAGUCUUGAGUGCCGGAGAGGUAAGCGGAAUUCCUAGUGUAGCGGUGAAAUGCGUAGAUAUUAGGAGGAACACCAGUGGCGAAGGCGGCUUACUGGACGAUGACUGACGUUGAGGCUCGAAAGCGUGGGAGCAAACA
rnacentral:rRNA from 1 species